rnacentral:rRNA from 1 species
GACGAACGCUGGCGGCGUGCUUAACACAUGCAAGUCGAACGGAAAGGCCCUGCUUUUGUGGGGUGCUCGAGUGGCGAACGGGUGAGUAACACGUGAGUAACCUGCCCUUGACUUUGGGAUAACUUCAGGAAACUGGGGCUAUUACCGGAUAGGAGCUCCUGCUGCAUGUUGGGGGUUGGAAAGUUUCGGCGGUUGGGGAUGGACUCGGGGGUUAUCGGCUUGUUGGGGUGGUAGGGGCUUACCAGGGGUUUGACGGGUAGGCGGCCUGGGAGGGUGACCGGCCUCAUUGGGACUGCGAUACGGCCCAGAAUCGUACGGGAGGCAGCAGUGGGGAAUCUUGCGCAAUGGGCGGAAGCCUGAUGCAGCAACGCCGCGUGCGGGAUGACGGCCUUCGGGUUGUAAACCGCUUUCGCCUGUGACGAAGCGUGAGUGACGGUAAUGGGUAAAGAAGCACCGGCUAACUACGUG